rnacentral:rRNA from 1 species
GCCCGCCGGAGUGCCGAAACUAAACUCUUGAUAUUUUAUGUCUCUCUGAGUAAACUUUUAAAUAAGUCAAAACUUUCAACAACGGAUCUCUUGGUUCUGGCAUCGAUGAAGAACGCAGCGAAAUGCGAUAAGUAAUGUGAAUUGCAGAACUCAGUGAAUCAUCGAGUCUUUGAACGCACAUUGCGCCCCCUGGUAUUCCGGGGGGCAUGCCUGUCCGAGCGUCAUUGCUGCCCUCAAGCACGGCUUGUGUGUUGGGCUCCGUCCCCCCGGGGACGGGUCCGAAAGGCAGCGGCGGCACCGAGUCCGGUCCUCGAGCGUAUGGGGCUUUGUCACCCGCUCUGUAGGCCCGGCCGGCGCCAGCCGACAACCAAUCAUCCUCUUUUCAGGUUGACCUCGGAUCAGGUAGGGA